ACCGUCACCGCACGCCGUGCCGUCGCAGGUAGGAACUCCGCCCGUCAUGCACAUCUCCGCUUCCUACUGCCACCACUCCCUCCUUCUCAGUUCGAGCUCCAUCAUCUGCGUCCCCAAGGCAACCGCACGCCGGCCGUGCCGCUCCCAAUGCCGCCUCUAGCUGUCUCCAUAGUCGGCCGAUUGGGGCGCUCACCAAUGGCACUCGCCGGCCGCCGCUUCAGGGAUGGAGACGAGGACGACAUCCCGAGACAGAAGGAGGUCUUCGACGGCGCUGGGUCGAGAUCUUUCUCCCUGGUCGAAUGGCAAGGAUAUCAAGUGGUGGUGACGUGAGGCAGGAAGCAAUGUACAUGGUGAACCUGUUGUCAAGGAACCCCGCUGCUGCUAGUGUUUCUUAGAAGAGCAGACCAGUGAGGAUGCAUACCGGAGCAACGACGUAGAUGAGGUUCUACAGAAGAUUAGGCCCUAAUAUGUUGGUGCUGGUUUGUCAUUCAUCUCUAUUAUUUUGGUUCAGUUGUGCUAUGGAAGAUCUAUGGAAUAUUAGGCCCUGAUGUUGAUGGCGUACAAGUAACAGUCUGGAUUUUGGUCAAGGUUUCUCAUGAGGUUGCAGCACGAAUAGUCUGAUUUGUUUUAGCCAUGCACUUUAGCUCAUGAAGGCUGAACUAGAUGUGUAUUUUUUGUUGGAUGUUUGAGGUCUAGCAUUCUGUACCUGGAGGAAAUAAGACGAGGCAUGUGUUUUAGUUUCGAUGAAACUAUCAGAGCUGAACUGUAACACAUAUCAGGUUGUAAAUCAUAGAAGCUAUGAGAGCCGAACUGUAAUAAGAUGAGGCAUGUGUUACAGUUUGUGGGUAUUAGAUAAAUAAAUUUGCAGUGCAGGUUGUAAAUCAUCUAGAGCAGAAUGUAUUGGAUGAUAUUUAGUAGUAAUAGCAUAGUAAAGUUGGCCAACAAAUGAUCCUUUGCAUCAAUCUUCAGGUAUUUCUUGUUUCUACGGUCUGGAUUUUUUUUGUGAUUUUACCAUGUAUACUAAGUUGUGUCUCUGAAUUUAGCUAUGUUGAUUGUUUUUCUUUCCUCUUUUUAGAAUAUUGGGACAGUGAUCCUAUUUUGGCUCCCAUCAACUAAUAUUCAGCAGUUACCCUUGCUUUCUCUGAUCAUUUCCUCAAGAUCUUCAGGCUUUUAUUGGUUGUCAGUUUGUUACGUUGAAGUAGGCUGUUUGGGUUUGUGCCUACCCUAUUGUGUGAAUCCAAGCACCACCAAGGCAGUAAGGUACAUCUAUAUGUUUUCUCUCCUCUAUGCAGGCAGAUUAUUUUUUAUCAGAAAAAAAUAGCAAUGGUUUAUAUGCAUACUGGUAUAUGCUUGCAGGUUCAAGGAAAGCAUAUCAGUUAUUGUAGUUCAUAGGGUAAAGCUUUAAUUGGUUGUAGUUGUUCGGAUUUCUGAAUUGUUGCAACACUUCAUGCUGCCGUUUGCUUAUUGGCAAUUGGUGUUCUUAUUUCUCCCGCCAUGUGCUGAUUAUAUUCAAUACUUGUUGUGUCAUCGGAGAAGCAUGUAUUUAUAUCCUGAACAUCAUCAUUCUAAGAAGUGUAGCCUGUAAGUGCCGCAGAAUUUGAUUUUAUUGUGUUUUUGCGAUGUUACCUAUAUCAAGAGUUGCAAGCACGAGUACCAUCUCAAAGCAUAUGCUAUUCAAUUUAUUUACUGUAAGUCUGCUACAUGGUACUAUCAUCUUCUGCUGGCUACUAGAUACAUCCCAGUAACUAGGCCCCCUUAUUAUAUUUUUCUUGUGUCAUUUGUGUAUUCCUAGACUGUCUGGUGUCCUGAUCAACAGAUUAAGAACUGCCACUGGUAUAAAUAUUAAAUAGUCAGCUUAUUUUAGUAGUUCUCCUGUGAAAUUCAUACCGGCUCCUUUUAAUAUAAUGGUUUGCCUAUAUGCAACCAGGUAAGAGCACUCUUGUGCAGCCAUGGGAAUUCCUCUUUUGCUGAUUCCUGGGGGUUCAUAGUUCGUUAGUAAAUUGAAGGUUAUUAUGUGCCUAGGAUUUGUCUGGUUUUCAUCCAGCUAAUGCGGUCCCGACUUCAGGAUGUUGAUGUGUGAGUUAGGUAGUGUUUAAGAACAUAUCUUGGGUAAACAAGUGCAAAUAGAUCUGUUUCCAAUUAUUUUCCAUUGGUAGGUACAAGGGAAAUUUGUGUUGUGCCAGUUCAAAGAUUAUGUGUUCUGCAGGUUAUAAGCCUCCGCUGUCUGUCAUAGGCCUGCCUUAGAAUGACUUUAUUCACCAACUCUAAUGACAGUGGUUUAAAUUCCCUUGGUGAAGCUUGACUGAAGAUGUUAUCCUUGAUCAGGGCAGUUCUUCAGGCACUGGCACUCAGCUUUCUGAUGCUUGAACCUCUACUGACAUAGAUGCUUCCCUGGUAAGUAUCUAGAAGCCAUUCCUCUUUGCCAUUACCGUUUGUCUUGUUGUUCUGUUAUUUGAUUAAGUAUAUUGUUUGUAUGUUAGUAGUAAGUAUGUAGAGUAGAGUCAAACCACAUCAGGCCAUCGGCAUUGGUUUUGGCUUCUAAAAUACAUUUGUUCUAUCUCCAUGCGCUCCUACGUCCUGCACUGCAUUUUUAGUUGCCAAAUAUUUAUUUAUAACAUGUUUCUUUUAUCUCCAUGUGCUGCUACGUCCUGCACUGCUAUGGCGGCGCCCGGUUUGAGCCGCACUGCUGCAACGGAAGACAUCAGCUUGCCGGCGGCUGGCUGUAGCAUUGCCCAAUGCUGCCACACCUUUUUUCUUCCCGUUGAACUGAAUCGUGCCUCAUCUACUUUGAAAUAGAGUCCUGUUGUGUGUUGGAUAUUUUACAGAGCUUCUGUCUACAUCCAUUGGAUCUGGACUAGAGCUUCACUUGCCAAGGUGAGAUGCAUUAGCUCUGGUCAUGCCUAUUGCUAAUGUUUAUUUAGCAAAAAAAGACACCUGAAACUGUCGUAAGAAAAAGUGGAUUUCCUUCCUAGCUUAAGUUCAGUCGUACCUUCAGUUACGUUUCUACUUGUGAGAACCUUCUUCACCUCUUGAAUCUUGAUAGGACAAUACAUAUUCAUCAUUAGAUCAUUUUGAGGUCUACUUUGUUUCCUUUGAUCCUUCCAAAUGGAAAAAAAGAAAGCUAAAACAUGCCCACUUAUGAGUACUUAACUUUCUAUGAACAAUUCAAGUUUUAGGAGAGAUGCAUGAGAGGAAAAUAGAGGUAAUCUUUCUAAUUUACUUUUUAGGUUCACAUGGAAUGCAUUUUUACCUUGUUCGUACACAAACCUAAUAUUUGUAUUUUCUUCUGCAACUUCUUCUUAGGGUGAGCAAUUUUCAACAAUAUGGAUUAUAAACCUUGCAGAGUCACAUCAGCUUAUUAGAUAGUUAUCAAGGCUUGCUGAGUUAAGAUAUUGAGUUGGUUUGCUAUGAUAGUUAUCCUAUGUAUUGAGUUCUCCUGGCAUCAAGUUACUUUAUUGUGCAGUCACAAGUUUGCGCAUAGUACUGCAUUUUAUGACUUCUGUGAAAUAGGUAGUUCCGCUAAUAGCAUUCUGAAAAUAAGAAGAAAAUACUUCUACUCCAUCCGUCUAAAAAUAAGUGUCUCAAUUUUAUCUAGAUACAGAUGUAUCUCACGGAGGGAGUAAUAGUUAUAGUGAUUGUAUUGGUUGCACUCAUUCUGUCUUUUCAUUUUCUCUCUAACGUGCUAGCUGCAGCAGUUCCAUAUCCUAAGAAAAUAUGCUUACUUAAGGAUUAGGAUGCUCUCUAAAAACUGAAGUAGGUUUAGUAUUGAACUUGCUUCACUUGAUGCUAUGCGUUUGUGUAAAACAUGGCGUAAUGAUUCAGGGAUUUGGCUGCUUAUUAGUGUUCUUCUGUACCAUUUCUUCACGUUUGCGUAGGGUAUGCAAUAAUUAUAUUCCGCUAGCUUCAGAUUUGCAGAUGGUUUCAGGUUUACUUAGUUGACUUACUUGCGGCCAAUUAGAAGAAAUUAGUGUGUUUUAGGAGGAAGUAUACUUUGCAGGUGCACGAGGUAGGACAUUUUCUCUCUUUUGUUUAUAAAGCCUAUGGUAUUGAGAUUCUCGGAGGUCAGUGCUUGACUCUAUUUUGCUCUGGAAGAAUCAAAUCCAUCUGUGUGAAGCUAGGCAUGUCUCUCAUAUAUGUUAAAUACGUGUACAUGGUAUCUUGUGUUCUAUUCUCUCUUGCCCACAGUUUCCUAUAUCUUUGUAAUAAGGAUAGAAUCUGCUGGUGUCAUUUAGUAAUAGGAUAGUGGGAUAGAUCAAAUGAAAAAUAUGUUCGGUUUCCCCCUGCAUUCUGUACGCCACGUAUAUCUACCAAAUGAGACUCACCUUUGUGUAUAAUAUUUUGUUUGAAAGAAGAGAUAAUUCAGUCCUGAAAUAAGCGUUGGAAAAUUUAUGUUAUGCUUUCACUUCAGGUUUUCUUCUAUCUGCUGGGUUUUAUAGUACUAAUAUUAAAUAAUAAUGAGUUCCACUGCAUGGUAUCAUGUGUUGUUGCCCAGUCAAUUAUGAUUUAUGAGUAGAGAAACUGUGACCAUUUACUCUUACACAUUUUGUAUUUUUAACAUUCCUCUUCAAUUAUGAGUAUCGAGGCUAAGAGUUUUGAACAUGUCAAAUAUGCUGCAAAUUACACUAUUAGAAUUUUUUUCAAGUAUCUUCAGAAAUAAAAUUUGUAUUAUCUUAUUUGUCAUGUUGAGGUCAAGUAGGUUUUCCUAUAAAUCACACGGUCUUUGUGUAACCACACGCAAUGAAAAAUAAGUUUGUGAAGUAUUCUCUUUCAAAAAAAUUCCUGCUUAACGCAUGUUCUGUUAUCUGAUCAUGUGCAAUGUGUGUUAUCUCAACCUUUGCACUCUGUUGCAUUUUCACGAGCAUGCGCAGUCUUGGGUUCAUAGACCUUCUUGGUUAGAAUUAAUUCCAACACAUUUGCCCAUAUAUACUGUUGUAGGUCACUCCAAACGUAGUUAGGAAUUCCUUAUAAAAGAUUACUUGACCGUAUGCUACAGAAAUUUGGUGUUUCAAAGGCUGAGUGCCGUCAUGAAUUAUGCAACGAUGGUUGAGUUCGUGUGACUUUUUUAACACCUCUACAUUUCCGCUGGAAGACGCCGCUGUGUACAAAUCGAUAUCUGAAGUCCCACCAAAGAUUAUGAAGUAGCAGAAGAUACUACAUGUGCCAAAGACUAAGUAAGAUUUUCUACCGCUCAUAUCAGACAAAGACCUAGGUAAUAUUUACUUUCUUUCAUUUGUUCAUCUUUGUCCAUGAACAAAACCAUCCUUCCACGGCCUUCCUGAAGGGAGUUAGCACACAAGGACGUGAGAGACAAACAAAGGCAGCUCAUCUGAAGGCAGCUUCGCUGAGCCAUGACCGUGGCGGUGGUGCACCCCUCUUCCCAAGCUGAUUCCAAGAGCAGAACAAAUCUCUUUUCGUUUAGGUUCAUGGAGACGGUUGAGGUCCCAGCCAGCGUCAUGUUGAGAGCUAUGCUGAAGAAACUGAACCUUACAAGCCCCAAAUACGAACACCGUGCUAUUUGAGCUGAGUCUGAACCAAAGAUUGUUUAUCCACCCUUCUGUGCAACUCCUCGAACGUUUAGUGCAGUUUUACUCAUUCUUGGGCUACCCAGGGGCACUUUGGAGGAAGCAUCAAAUGUUCUUUGCUUACUGCUGCUUAUUCAUAAUUAGCCCUUUCAUAAUCUAGUGGUAUACAAGAUGUGUAUCUUCUUGCUAUAUGGUUGUCCGAUUCU